rnacentral:misc_RNA from 1 species
UGUUGCCUUGUUGAUGUGUUUAUGAUCAGGCAAGCAUGCAAAUAUCUUUAAGCUUUUGAUUUUGUUCACUUAAAUGAAUGGUAACCAUGCAACAUCGAGCAGCCUAAUAAUUUUUUCCAGUCUGUUGUAGUGCAGAGUGCUGGAAGUACUAAUUAUACUGGGUUUUGGUUGAGUACUUAUGCCAGUUGACUUGUCUUGUGGUGUCUCCUAAUGUGUGAUUGGAUCAUCUCGAAGCAGGUGUGGAAAUUUGUAAAUGAUUUGCAUAUAUUUUUAUGGGGUUUCAUGGGGUAAUUUGUUAAUGUUUAGUAUGUCCUUAAGUAGGAGGUUUGGAAACUCAUGUACAGGCAAUUGUGCAUCCUUGUCUGGCUUAGGGGUCGUGUGGUUGUUACUUUAUUAAAAGUCGGUAUUUUGCAUGGUCAGAUUGAAAUAUCCCUACCUUGGCGUUGAGAAAACAUUUUUAUUGCUCUUUGGCAAUCAAAUGAGGAUGUGUUUCUUCUUGUCAUAUUGUAUGUUUAACAAUGGAGUGAGGCUUUUUGUGCUUUUUGACGUUGGCAUUGUAGACAUUCCCAUUCAUAGGGUUGAGUGGAU